rnacentral:snRNA from 1 species
GGAGGUGAGGUCAAUCUGGCCGCAACAUCUGUCCGCCCACUGAUUGUCAGGGUUGAUUUGGUUGAUCUGGCUGGCGAGGUGAGUGCCCCCUUCCUUCCUCGCCACUCCAUCGUGUCCUUCCCAAAGUUGUACACUUGGUCAAAGAAGACAACCUUCCCUAGAAGGCCGUUCUUUGCUAGCU